rnacentral:rRNA from 1 species
AUUGAACGCUGGCGGCAGGCUUAACACAUGCAAGUCGAGCGGAGAUGAGGUGCUUGCACCUUAUCUUAGCGGCGGACGGGUGAGUAAUGCUUAGGAAUCUGCCUAUUAGUUGGGGACAACAUUCCGAAAGGAAUGCUAAUACCGCAUACGCCCUACGGGGGAAAGCAGGGGAUCUUCGGACCUUGCGCUAAUAGAUGAGCCUAAGUCGGAUUAGCUAGUUGGUGGGGUAAAGGCCUACCAAGGCGACGAUCUGUAGCGGGUCUGAGAGGAUGAUCCGCCACACUGGGACUGAGACACGGCCCAGACUCCUACGGGAGGCAGCAGUGGGGAAUAUUGGACAAUGGGCGGAAGCCUGAUCCAGCCAUGCCGCGUGUGUGAAGAAGGUCUUUUGGUUGUAAAGCACUUUAAGCGAGGAGGAGGCUACCUGGAUUAAUACUCUAGGAUAGUGGACGUUACUCGCAGAAUAAGCACCGGCUAACUCUGUGCCAGCAGCCGCGGUAACAC